ensembl:rRNA 5_8S_rRNA 5.8S ribosomal RNA
UACUCUUAGCGGUGGAUCACUCGGCUCGUGCGUCGAUGAAGAACGCAGCAAACUGCGAGAAUUGAUGUGAAUUGCAUUACUUUCACAGAUCAUCGACAUUUCGAACGCACAUUGCGGCCCAGGGGCCCGAAUCCUGGGCCACGUCUGUCCGAGUGCCG